rnacentral:rRNA from 1 species
GCGCCGUAUCUUGAUCCGGAUACGGUGGCAAGUGAGCGAGGAUCGGGUCGUCGCAUCCUUAGUGGCGCGCUACAUCAGCGCCCGGAUGUAGUGGAAAAUGAGCAAGGGUCUUCGCAUUUGACUCGACGAGUGCGAAGGGUAAGGAAGCUAGCCGAGCCUAGGAGGAUUCGCUUAGGUAGCUGGAACGUAGGGUCUUUGACAGGGAAGCUUCGGGAGCUAGUUGAUGCAGCAGUGAGGAGAGGUGUUGAUAUCCUUUGUGUCCAAGAAACCAAAUGGAGAGGACAGAAGGCGAAGGAGGUGGAGGAUACCGGCUUCAACCUGUGGUACACGGGGACGGCUGCAAACAGAAAUGGCGUAGGCAUCUUGAUCAACAAGAGCCUCAAGUAUGGAGUGGUAGACGUCAGGAGACGUGGGGACCGGAUUAUCCUGGUCAAGCUGGUAGCUGAGGACUUGGUUCUCAAUGUUAUCAGCGCAUAUGCCCCGCAAGUAGGCCACAAUGAGAACACCAAGAGGGAGUUCUGGGAAGGCUUGGAAGACAUGGUUAGGAGUGUACCGAUUGGUGAGAAGCUCUUCAUUGGAGGAGACCUCAAUGGCCACGUGGGUACAUCUAACACAGGUUUUGAAGGGGCGCAUGGGGGCUUUGGCUAUGGCAUCAGGAAUCAAGAAGAAGAAGAUGUCUUAAGCUUUGCUCUAGCCUACAACAUGAUUGUAGCUAACACCCUCUUUAGAAAGAGAGAAUCACAUCCGGUGACUUUUAGUAGUGGCCAACACUUUAGCCAGAUUGAUUUCAUCCUCUCGAGAAGAGAAGAUAGGCGUGCGUGCCUAGACUAUAAGGUGAUACCUGGGGAGAGUGUUGUACCCCAGCAUAAGCUGGUGGUUGCUGACUUCCGCUUUCGGAUUCGUGUCCAGCGGGAUAAGCGUGCCAAGGUUGCUAGAACGAAGUGGUGGAAGCUCAAGGGGGAGGUAGCUCAGGUGUUCAAGGAGAGGGUAUUUAAGGAGGGCCCUUGGGAGGAAGGAGGGGAUGCGGACAAUGUGUGGAUGAAGAUGGUGACUUGCAUU